CUCUAGCUUAUAAAAAUAAGCUUUCGUUUCGGGAGGUGUUACCUUGUCGUAGGAAUUAAACAAGGAUCUCUGAUACAAUACACGAAGUAUUCUUUUUAGUGUACAGAAAUGAUCAUCUACUCAUCUCUUCAGUAUAAUUACAGGAUGCUAAUCUAUUUUUAGAAGCAUACAAUCACUGUAAAUUUAUAUAUGUAUAUCUCUGCCUAUGUGUAGUGACAACUGCAAAUUAUACCUUGUCCAUCGGAUUUCUUAUGAUUAAGAAAUACCAGGCGUUAGAAUAUGUAUAAAGUGCCUAGAAAAUCAACCUAACGAUGUUAGAGUAGAUUUGAUUCGUAACUUCCUCCCCGGCGCCGGGGCUGGAACCUGUACUUUUUAUUUCUAACUUCUACGACAACACCGCCUAGCAUUGCGCAGAGACCUUAUCCCCUCCUCUAACUCUAGCUUAUAAAAAUAAGCUUUCGUUUCGGGAGGUGUUACCUUGUCGUAGGAAUUAAACAAGGAUCUCUGAUACAAUACACGAAGUAUUCUUUUUAGUGUACAGAAAUGAUCAUCUACUCAUCUCUUCAGUAUAAUUACAGGAUGCUAAUCUAUUUUUAGAAGCAUACAAUCACUGUAAAUUUAUAUAUGUAUAUCUCUGCC
rnacentral:lncRNA from 1 species